rnacentral:rRNA from 1 species
CAGCAGCCGCGGUAAUACGAAGGGUGCAAGCGUUAAUCGGAAUUACUGGGCGUAAAGCGCGCGUAGGUGGUUUGGUAAGAUGGAUGUGAAAUCCCCGGGCUCAACCUGGGAACUGCAUCCAUAACUGCCUGACUAGAGUACGGUAGAGGGUGGUGGAAUUUCCUGUGUAGCGGUGAAAUGCGUAGAUAUAGGAAGGAACACCAGUGGCGAAGGCGACCACCUGGACUGAUACUGACACUGAGGUGCGAAAGCGUGGGGAGCAAACAGGAUUAGAUACCCCAGUGUCCCUGUCUCUUAUACA